UGAGGGAAUAUUUGGGGUCAAUGGGCGGAAGCCUGAACCAGCCAAGUAGCGUGAAGGACGACUGCCCUAUGGGUUGUAAACUUCUUUUAUGCGGGGAUAAAGUUCGCCACGUGUGGCGUUUUGCAGGUACCGCAUGAAUAAGGACCGGCUAAUUCCGUGCCAGCAGCCGCGGUAAUACGGAAGGUCCAGGCGUUAUCCGGAUUCAUUGGGUUUAAAGGGAGCGUAGGCCGCCUUUUAAGCGUGUUGUGAAAUGUAGGGGGCUCAACCCCUGCACUGCAGCGCGAACUGGAGGGCUUGAGUACACACAAAGUAGGCGGAAUUCAUGGUGUAGCGGUGAAAUGCUUAGAUAUCAUGAAGAACCCCGAUUGCG
rnacentral:rRNA from 1 species